UACGGAGGGGGCUAGCGUUGUUCGGAAUUACUGGGCGUAAAGCGCACGUAGGCGGACCAGCAAGUUGGGGGUGAAAGCCCGGGGCUCAACUCCGGAACUGCCUUUAAGACUGCAUCGCUUGAAUCCAGGAGAGGUGAGUGGAAUUCCGAGUGUAGAGGUGAAAUUCGUAGAUAUUCGGAAGAACACCAGUGGCGAAGGCGGCUCACUGGACUGGUAUUGACGCUGAGGUGCGAAAGCGUGGGGAGCAAACAGG
rnacentral:rRNA from 1 species